GAUGAACGCUGGCGGCGUGCCUAAUACAUGCAAGUCGAGCGAAUGGAUUAAGAGCUUGCUCUUAUGAAGUUAGCGGCGGACGGGUGAGUAACACGUGGGUAACCUGCCCAUAAGACUGGGAUAACUCCGGGAAACCGGGGCUAAUACCGGAUAACAUUUUGAACCGCAUGGUUCGAAAUUGAAAGGCGGCUUCGGCUGUCACUUAUGGAUGGACCCGCGUCGCAUUAGCUAGUUGGUGAGGUAACGGCUCACCAAGGCAACGAUGCGUAGCCGACCUGAGAGGGUGCUCGGCCACACUGGGACUGAGACACGGCCCAGACUCCUACGGGAGGCAGCAGUAGGGAAUCUUCCGCAAUGGACGAAAGUCUGACGGAGCAACGCCGCGUGAGUGAUGAAGGCUUUCGGGUCGUAAAACUCUGUUGUUAGGGAAGGACAAGUGCUAGUUGAAUAAGCUGGCACCUUGACGGUACCUAACCAGAAAGCCACGGCUAACUACGUGCCAGCAGCCGCAGUAA
rnacentral:rRNA from 1 species